rnacentral:rRNA from 1 species
GCCUCCCUCCGCGCCAUCAGACUCCUACGGAGGCAGCAGUAGGGAAUUUUCCACAAUGGGCGAAAGCCUGAUGGAGCAACGCCGCGUGCAGGAUGAAGGCUUUCGGGUCGUAAACUGCUUUUAUCUGUGACGAAUAUGACGGUAGCAGAUGAAUAAGCCUCGGCUAACUCCGUGCCAGCAGCCGCGGUAAUAC